rnacentral:snoRNA from 1 species
AAACCAUGAUUGGGGCAUUAUUUCAAUAGCAUUUGAAAACAAUCCCAAUCUUCAUAGAAUGCUUCAUUUGCGCCUUGCCUGAAAGUAGAUAUUUCAAAUUUGGCAU